AUGUAUAUCUAUACAAACAUAUUUUUUAGUUUCUCUUCAUUUUUGUCUUACAUGAAAAUAAUAUAUUACAAGCUGCGUUAUUAUCGAUAGCUUGAUGACAGAUAUCGACUUUGAGCUACAGCUGUAAGUCUCACUAUAUGUAAAAAAAAAAAAAAAAGACUGAAAAAGAAAGGAACAACAAAACGAUAGCUUGCGACGUGCGAUGUGUCAAUUAGAUAAGAACGCAAAACGAAACUGAACGUCGCUCACGUCGCCCAGCAACAACAAGAUGAAGAGAAACAACAACAUCAGCUUGAAAAGAUAAUUGUAAAUGCAAAACGCUGCAGUUUCCAGCAAAAGCAAAACUUCGUCGCGUAUAACAGUACUGCCCAAAUGGCGAAGACUAUUCAGCAUUUUGAUAUGGUAAAUAAAAACAAGAUUUGUUUACCUUAGCAUGUGAAUUCUUCAAAAACUGAAGCAAAGAGAAAUUUGUUUCUAUCACACUGGUAUAUUUUGGCCAAAGGGAACUUCUUCAAAGGCUUGCGCUCACUACGUAGUUAGACUAGUUAAACGGUAGACGGAUCGAUAGCAACGCUGUUGUUAUCGGCGUCGAGAUUUUUACGGCACCACUUCAGCGUAAAUUCUAAUCUAAAAAUAACAGAAACAGCGCAUCAACAUGACGACAUUAACAUUUAGCGAUGAAUCAGCGCAAAAAUGCAUGGUGGUUAAAAAAAAAAAAAAAAAAAAUAACCGAAAGAAGAAAAAACCUAACAAUAACCUGCUGCCAGCCGCAGCGACAAUAAAGACAAGCAUGUUUCUAUCUGUGUGUGUGUGUGUGAGUGCGUGCAUGUGUGUGCGUGCGAGUGUGUAGGUAAACAAUUAGAGAUGAAGAGUAGAAAAGAAGCAGCAAACAGACAACAAAAAAUGCUAUUUAAAUGACACUUUCAGUGGUGAAAAGCACAGCACAGCACACACACAUAUACAUACAAACAUUUAAAAUGGAGUCGCGCCCCAGCAAACAGACAAAUCUCAAGCAGUUGGGCACCAAUGGCGCACAGCAACAGUAGAGCUAAAAUUUUCUCUAGCUCGCUACCAAAAUAAAUGACAAAAUUAUGUUUGCUUCUGCUGUUGUUAGUUUUGCUUUCUUCAAAUAGAAGACAAUGAUUAUGAUGUCUAUUAUAUGUAUGUAUAGCAGGUGCCUUUGCCUGCCUGCCUGCCUUGCCUUGCAGAUAUCUACAUUCUUCUCAGCAUUUGCUGCGCUUUCUUUUGAUGUUGUCCAACACGCACCUAUAACAACAAAAAUUCAUCUGUACAUGUGCAUGUGUGUGUGUACAUAUGUAUAUAUGUAUGCCUGUUCGUGUGGGUUUGUGACCUAUGAAGCUGGGCCAGUUCUAACCUCAAAACUGGUCAAGCUUUUAAAUUCACACUCACAUAUAUGUACAUAUAUCUAUUCACAUAGCUGCUUGUAAUUGUUGUUUGCUUUCUUUGCCUACGUUGAUUUAUUAGUACUCCGCUCAUGUCGUUUCGUUUACCGAAAAAAAGUAACGUUUACCGUUCGUUUUUGUUGCCUUUUCAAAUGCACGUUCUAGUUUUGUUGCUGCCAUCAUUUGACAGGUGCGCAAGUGAGACGGUCGCAGGCUCGCAUUCGCACUCGCGCACUGUCUCUGUUACUCCCUCAAAGUAUACAUAUGUGUGGGUGUUUGUUGUAUGCUUGCGUGUGAGAGCAACAGCUGAUCGUGGUGGGAGUGCAGCGGGACGGCUUCUUGUUGUUGUUCCUGUUCUUGCUGCUAGUUCCGGCAGACGUACCACACAAAUUUUUAUACAAUAUUUUGAGCGGCACGUUGCGUUGGCGGGCGCUAAAAAAAAGACUUCCGUAAAACACAGCGCCGUCGUCACAAAGGUAACAGAGAGGAGAGGAAGAAGCCGCAAGCACAAACAGUUGUUUCAACAAGAGUCAAUAGCCAUACUACAACAGCAACAACACAAUGAAAUGUUCGGCUAAUAAAACAAUCUAUGCAAUUAAUUUUGGAGUCAACGUCAACGUUGACGCCGAUGACGAUGUCGACGUCGACUCCGCUGCUGCAGUCAAUGGCCUCGGUGUCGAGGACGAGGCGACCUAACGUUAAACAGCAUACACCGUUUUGUUUUUUUGUUUUUUUUUUUUCUUUCUUUUUCAACCCGAACUAUUGUAACGGCUAACUGUCUGGCUGCAGUCUGUCUGUGAGAAAGAGAAGGAUGAGGAGUAUUUUUAUGCCUACCUUGGCGGAUUCGGGAGUCACAGUGUGGCCAGGCUGCUCCGCUGCUGCUGCUGCUGCUGCUGCUGCUUGCACUUGACGCUUGCUUUAAUUUCCAGCUGAAAAUGCACUGCGUUUAAUUGGAUUUCAAUUUCACAAGAACAACAACUACGACAACAACACUGGAGACGAUGACUACGACGACGACGACGUCAUGAUAAGUGGAAACAAGGCAACAAAUUCAUUUCAACUUUCUUUGUUUUUGUUUUUGAGAGCACACACACACAGAUGCACUCACAUUUACGCAAUAUCGAAAACAAUUCGUUUUAUACAUUUCUUAGCAGCUUAAGCCAGGGCCAUUUUGGCCAUUUGGCAAUUUUUCUCUUCUUUUUUUGGGUUUUUUAUUUUUUUCAACUAGGUAUUGUUUAAUGAUUUUCCAUUUGUUUUUUCUUAUUUCUCAGCCGCGUUUUGUUUGAGUGAACGUGUUCGCACGUCUGUCACAUUACACACUAGCAAAGCAUUCGAUUUGUGUACAUUUUUCUGCAUUUACAACAACAAGAACCGCCAAAAAUAUCACAAAUAUGUUUUAAAAUAUUGUUAAGAUUGCACUGAGGCAAAAAACUACAACGGAGACGACGACGGCGACAUACGAAAAAAUACAAGCGAGUCGUUUGCCCUGGCACUCAUACACUCACAUAUAUCUACAUAUGUGUGUAAUAUAUACACGCACGCACGUAUGCAUGCUGCAGUAGAGUUGUCUCUCUUACACUGUUGUUGGUUUUACAGCGAGCACGUUGCUAGCCUGACUGUUUCAACGUUUUCACACCAACACAUGUAUGUCAGCGCGACGUAUACGUACACGAUAACGAAGCACACAUAAAGCAAGUCGAAAAAAGUUGCCACCACUACGGGCACUGCGGCCGAAGCAGUCUCUCUGGCUUUUUGUUACGCACAAUUUUCACCAUUUGGCACGCGCACGUUGCAAAUUUAUAUAUAACCAGCAUUAACUUACUUUUUGCGCUUCUAUUUAUUGUAUUUCUUUGCACUUUUACAUAAAUAAUUGAAUUUCUUUUAUAAAUUAUUUUCUAGAAUUAAUCUUUCGAACACAACAACACCAACAACAGGCUCGACCAGAAGUUCCAUUUGAGAACCAUUUAAA